GUUUGAUAGAGCCGGUCCAGUCAGCUUCGUCGUUACAGGACUUGUGUUAUGCUUUCUCUCGCUAAUCGUGUAUGCUGCGUUGUGGUUGGCUGGUCACAGCAUCAUUCGCCACUCAGCCUCGACUGGAGUGAUAGGCUUACUCAGCUCGUACAUCUCCAGUAAGGGGAGAAGUGAGGAGGAGGACUCGGGUCUUACGAGGAAACACGUGAGGUACUACUCUCGCAUGAGGUCCGAACUUUCUGAAAGCAGUCCAGGAGAACAAUAUGGCGACCAACUGAAAGAAAAAGUGGAACAAAGUCGUUAAAAAACUUGAUAUUUUUUCUUCUAUUUAAUCCUUUAUAGUUGAUUGAUUUUGAAGAUAUCUCUGCAUAAUUGUAGCCUUCGCUAUUUGAUAGCUUGUCCGAGCCACUACAGGUCUAACUGAUAACCAUUUCCGUUAUUUAAACUUGUCGAUGUAUUGUCAGCUUCUAAGUUUCUACCACCAUAAAUGUAACGUUCCUUACA